rfam:Chromobacterium sp. 37-2 Cmus_37-2.1, whole genome shotgun sequence.
UAACCGGCAUUCUUAAAUGCCAUCAUUUUAUUAUUUAAUGAUAUUG